UGGGGAAUUUUGGACAAUGGGCGAAAGCCUGAUCCAGCAAUGCCGCGUGUGUGAAGAAGGCCUUCGGGUUGUAAAGCACUUUUGUCCGGAAAGAAAUCCUUGGCUCUAAUACAGUCGGGGGAUGACGGUACCGGAAGAAUAAGCACCGGCUAACUACGUGCCAGCAGCCGCGGUAAUACGUAGGGUGCAAGCGUUAAUCGGAAUUACUGGGCGUAAAGCGUGCGCAGGCGGUUUGCUAAGACCGAUGUGAAAUCCCCGGGCUCAACCUGGGAACUGCAUUGGUGACUGGCAGGCUAGAGUAUGGCAGAGGGGGGUAGAAUUCCACGUGUAGCAGUGAAAUGCGUAGAGAUGUGGAGGAAUACCGAUGGCGAAGGCAGCCCCCUGGGCCAAUACUGACGCUCAUGCACGAAAGCGUGGGGAGCAAACAGGAUUAGAUACCCUGGUAGUCCACGCCCUAAACGAUGUCACUAGUUGUUGGGGGACUUCAUUUUCCUUAGUAACGUAGCUAACGCGUGAAGUUGACCGCCUGGGGAGUACGGUCGCAAGAUU
rnacentral:rRNA from 1 species